UUUCGGGUCCUGUACAGCGUCGGCCUGCCAAACCCCGCCAGGACCGGAAGGUAGCAACGGUAGGCAACGUCGUCGUGUGAUACAGCCACGCCUGAGAAAG
rnacentral:SRP_RNA from 1 species